GGGGCCAUAGCUCAGUUGGUAGAGCGCUUGCUUUGCAAGCAAGAUGUCGGGAGUUCGAUUCUCCCUGGCUCCA
rnacentral:tRNA from 1 species